CUCCCUCAACACACACAGUUUGUUUCCCUUAACCCACGAAGAAAAGCAGAAGCAAUGAACCACCGCGAAGAAACGAGAGAAGGGAGGAGAGGAAGACCCGCGAUGGCGUGCUGGGCUCCACCGCCGCCAUCGCGUUAUUGUCAUCCCGUGGAGCCAUCGCCAGGCCGCCGUGCGUGAGGGUGCUGGGCUGUCGCUGCCUUCCCAUUGUAGAGAGAGAGAGGGAGUUCGGGAGCAAAGCAGACGAGGGAGAGAUCUGAGGCGAGCAGGGAGCCCAACCACCGCGCGGAGCCGCGCCACUGUGUGCUGUCGCCGUCGCCUCGGACUGUUGCCGCCGACGAGCUCCGUGGAGUAGAGAACGACGCAGGUGAGAGGGGAUCACGCUCUGCUGUAGUCGAGCCGGCCUUGCUGCCUCCGCAGCUGGGGGCUGUCUCUGUCACUGUUGCCGGCGAGAAGGAGAGGGCAGUGCGGGAGAAAUAAAGCGCGAGGGAGGAGAAGCCGGCUCUGCCACUGCCUUUCACUGCUGCCACGUGUUCCUCCGCCACUGCUAGAGGUGAGCUACCGGAACCCUCUGCUGCCCAAGAAAAUACCACUAGGACCACUGCUAUGUUGGGGUAGGUGACAUCGCCGCUGCCAUUUCUGGAGAUAGUUGCUGUCUUUGUGUGGAGAAUUCUGUUGCAACUAGUAUUUGUUUUAGGACUGUUUUAUCUGUUGUUGGAAUAUCUGUUAGCUUGCCCUGUGCUAUUGAGUCACCACCGAUACUGAGAAUAGGUGCUAGGAACUGCUAACGGAGCAGGCUGAGUCGCGGCGACUCCGGCUGCCAACGGCGAUUCUGUGGUUGUCGGAACCACUGCUGAAGCUUCUGUCCUUUGGUUCAGUUAAUAUUCUUUAGUUACCGUAAGUACCUCUACCUCGAGACCUUGCCAGUUCAUAUCCCGUGAUGUGUUUUCAGGUUUUCGCAAUAAUAAUGUUUUCUAGGAUUAAGUUAUCGGAGCCAUAUGUUGCGCGUAAGGGUUGUCCUUGCUGCUGCAAGAGUAAACAAAGCUAUGAUGUAAGUUGCCGAUAAAUUCAGGUUGAUUGAGAGUUCCGGUGACGCGUUUGGGUUAUGGAAUUGCGUUUUGAGGAUAUGGGCGCUGAAGUCAUGAAGAGUUUAUUUAAUUGUUGUUGUGAUGUUCCUAUAUUGCUUUAGAUUGUUACUUAUUGUACCCUCGCCUUUAUCUUGAUAUAUUCUGUAAGAAGGAUAGGAAUUGUAUUGAAUAAUGCUUGUAAUAUUAUUUAUAUGUAUAUGUAUAUAUAUGGAUAUACUCUUUAUGAGUUUUUCUAAGUUGUAUGAUAUCU